CCUUGUGUAGCAAAGAGGUUAUGCGUUCGGCUGUAGACCGAAUUUAUGUAGGUUCGAGUCCUACCUCAAGGA
rnacentral:tRNA from 1 species